rnacentral:rRNA from 1 species
ACGCACGCUGGCGGCGUGCUUCACACCUGCAAGUCGCACGGAAAGGCCCUGCUUUUGUGGGGUGCUCGAGCGGCGAACGGGUGAGUAACACGUGAGUAACCUGCCCUUGACUUUGGGAUAACUUCAGGAAACUGGGGCUAAUACCGGAUAGGAGCUCCUGCUGCAUGGUGGGGGUUGGAAAGUUUCGGCGGUUGGGGAUGGACUCGCGGCUUAUCAGCUUGUUGGUGGGGUAGUGGCUUACCAAGGCUUUGACGGGUAGCCGGCCUGAGAGGGUGACCGGCCACAUUGGGACUGAGAUACGGCCCAGACUCCUACGGGAGGCAGCAGUGGGGAAUAUUGCACAAUGGGCGGAAGCCUGAUGCAGCAACGCCGCGUGCGGGAUGACGGCCUUCGGGUUGUAAACCGCUUUCGCCUGUGACGAAGCGUGAGUGACGGUAAUGGGUAAAGAAGCACCGGCUAACUACGUG